UACGGGUAUAUCAGGUUAAAAUACCGGCUCCCAUACAAUCAUCGAAGUUAAGCAAUGCCGAGCUUGGUCAGUACCUAGAUGGGUGACCGCUGGGGGAAGACCAAGUGCUAU